rnacentral:rRNA from 1 species
UCGUAACAAGGUUUCCGUAGGUGAACCUGCGGAAGGAUCAUUACCGAGUGAGGGCCCUCUGGGUCCAACCUCCCACCCGUGUUUAUUUUACCUUGUUGCUUCGGCGGGCCCGCCUUAACUGGCCGCCGGGGGGCUUACGCCCCCGGGCCCGCGCCCGCCGAAGACACCCUCGAACUCUGUCUGAAGAUUGUAGUCUGAGUGAAAAUAUAAAUUAUUUAAAACUUUCAACAACGGAUCUCUUGGUUCCGGCAUCGAUGAAGAACGCAGCGAAAUGCGAUACGUAAUGUGAAUUGCAAAUUCAGUGAAUCAUCGAGUCUUUGAACGCACAUUGCGCCCCCUGGUAUUCCGGGGGGCAUGCCUGUCCGAGCGUCAUUGCUGCCCUCAAGCACGGCUUGUGUGUUGGGCCCCGUCCUCCGAUCCCGGGGGACGGGCCCGAAAGGCAGCGGCGGCACCGCGUCCGGUCCUCGAGCGUAUGGGGCUUUGUCACCCGCUCUGUAGGCCCGGCCGGCGCUUGCCGAUCAACCCAAAUUUUUA